rnacentral:rRNA from 1 species
GUGGGGAAUAUUGGGCAAUGGGCGAAAGCCUGACCCAGCAACGCCGCGUGAAGGAAGAAGGUUUUCGGAUCGUAAACUUCUUUUGCAGGGGAAUAAAGUGCAGGACGUGUCCUGUUUUGUAUGUACCCUGAGAAUAAGGAUCGGCUAACUCCGUGCCAGCAGCCGCGGUAAUACGGAGGAUCCGAGCGUUAUCCGGAUUUAUUGGGUUUAAAGGGUGCGUAGGUGGUUUGAUAAGUCAGCGGUGAAAGUUUGCAGCUUAACUGUAAAAAUGCCGUUGAAACUGUCGGACUUGAGUGUAAAUGAGGUAGGCGGAAUGCGUGGUGUAGCGGUGAAAUGCAUAGAUAUCACGCAGAACUCCGAUUGUGAAGGCAGCUUACUAAGCUACAACUGACACUGAAGCACGAAAGCGUGGGGAUCAAACAGGAUUAGAAACCCUGGUAGUCC